ACGGAAGGCAGCAGUGGGGAAUAUUGGACAAUGGGGGAAACCCUGAUCCAGCGACGCCGCGUGAGUGAAGAAGUAUUUCGGUAUGUAAAGCUCUAUCAGCAAGGAAGAAAAUGACGGUACUUGACUAAGAAGCCCCGGCUAACUACGUGCCAGCAGCCGCGGUAAUACGUAGGGGGCAAGCGUUAUCCGGAUUUACUGGGUGUAAAGGGAGCGUAGACGGCAUAGCAAGUCUGAAGUGAAAUGCAUGGGCUCAACCCAUGAACUGCUUUGGAAACUGUUAAGCUAGAGUGCAGGAGAGGUAAGUGGAAUUCCUAGUGUAGCGGUGAAAUGCGUAGAUAUUAGGAGGAGCACCAGUGGCGAAGGCGGCUUACUGGACUGUAACUGACGUUGAGGCUCGAAAGCGUGGGGAGCAAACAGGAUUAGAUACCCUGGUA
rnacentral:rRNA from 1 species